rnacentral:tRNA from 1 species
GGCCUGAACGUGCCAAACUAUCUUAUUUCCUUGACAGGGAAGGGGUCGAGGGUUCGAAUCCCUCACAGGUCA